rnacentral:rRNA from 1 species
UUGAAGUUCAGGUAACACUGAAUGGAGGACCGAACCGACUUACGUUGAAAAGUGAGCGGAUGAACUGAGGGUAGCGGAGAAAUUCCAAUCGAACCUGGAGAUAGCUGGUUCUCUCCGAAAUAGCUUUAGGGCUAGCCUCAAGUGAUGAUUAUUGGAGGUAGAGCACUGUUUGGACGAGGGGCCCCUCUCGGGUUACCGAAUUCAGACAAACUCCGAAUGCCAAUUAAUUUAACUUGGGAGUCAGAACAUGGGUGAUAAGGUCCGUGUUCGAAAGGGAAACAGCCCAGACCACCAGCUAAGGUCCCAAAAUAUAUGUUAAGUGGAAAAGGAUGUGGCGUUGCCCAGACAACUAGGAUGUUGGCUUAGAAGCAGCCAUCAUUUAAAGAGUGCGUAAUAGCUCACUAGUCGAGUGACACUGCGCCGAAAAUGUACCGGGGCUAAACAUAUUACCGAAGCUGUGGAUUGUCCUUUGGACAAUGGUAGGAGAGCGUUCUAAGGGCGUUGAAGCAUGAUCGUAAGGACAUGUGGAGCGCUUAGAAGUGAGAAUGCCGGUGUGAGUAGCGAAAGACGGGUGAGAAUCCCGUCCACCGAUUGACUAAGGUUUCCAGAGGAAGGCUCGUCCGCUCUGGGUUAGUCGGGUCCUAAGCUGAGGCCGACAGGCGUAGGCGAUGGAUAACAGGUUGAUAUUCCUGUACCACCUAUAAUCGUUUUAAUCGAUGGGGGGACGCAGUAGGAUAGGCGAAGCGUGCGAUUGGAUUGCACGUCUAAGCAGUAAGGCUGAGUAUUAGGCAAAUCCGGUACU